CACGUAGGGCGCAAGCGUUGUCCGGAAUUAUUGGGCGUAAAGAGCUCGUAGGCGGUCUGUUGCGUCUGCUGUGAAAACCCGGGGCUUAACCCCUGGCUUGCAGUGGAUACGGACAGACUAGAGGUAGGUAGGGGAGAAUGGAAUUCCCGGUGUAGCGGUGAAAUGCGCAGAUAUCGGGAGGAACACCGGUGGCGAAGGCGGUUCUCUGGGCCGAUACUGACGCUGAGGAGCGAAAGCGUGGGGAGCGAACAGG
rnacentral:rRNA from 1 species